GACAGAGGUCCCGAGCGUUAGGCGGAAUCACUGGGCUUAAAGCGUGUGUAGGCGGAUCGUUAAGUGCCUUGUGAAAUCCCAUGGCUUAACCAUGGAACUGCUCGGCAUACUGGCGAUCUUGAGCCACUUAGGGGCAACCGGAACAAAUGGUGGAGCGGUGAAAUGCGUAGAUAUCGGAAGGAACAUCAGUGGCGAAAGCGGCUUCCUGGACCAGUACCGACGUUCAGGCACGAAAGCGUGGGGAGCAAACAGG
rnacentral:rRNA from 1 species